UACGUAGGGGGCGAGCGUUGUCCGGAUUUAUUGGGCGUAAAGAGCUCGUAGGCGGCUUGGCAAGUCGGGUGUGAAACCUCCAGCUCAACCUGGAGACGCCACUCGAUACUGCCAUGGCUAGAGUCCGGUAGGGGACCACGGAAUUCCUGGUGUAGCGGUGAAAUGCGCAGAUAUCAGGAGGAACACCGGUGGCGAAGGCGGUGGUCUGGGCCGGCACUGACGCUGAGGAACGAAAGCGUGGGUAGCAAACAGG
rnacentral:rRNA from 1 species